AAUGAUAUCUCUAAACAAAAAAAGAGAAAGGAAACCCCUUCGGGGGCAGAGUGACAGGUGGGGCAUUGUUGUACUAAACUAGAGUCGAGAGAUUGUGGGUUAAGUCCCGCAACGAGCGCAACCCUUGGUAAUAGUUGCCAGCAUUCAGUUGGGCACUUUAAGGUGACUGCCGGUGACAAACCGGAGGAAGGAGGGGAAGACGUCAAAUCAUCAUGCCCCUUAUGACCUGGGCUACACACGUGCUACAAUGGGCAGAACAAAGGGCAGCGAAACCGCGAGGUUAAGCCAAUCCCACAAAUCUGUUUUCAGUUCGGAUCGCAGUUUGCAACUCGACUGCGUGAAGCUGGAAUCGCUAGUAAUCGCGGAUCAGCAUGCCGCGGUGAAUACGUUCCCGGGCCUUGUACACACCGCCCGUCACACCACGAGAGUUUGUAACACCCGAAGUCGGUGAGGUAACCUUUUAGGAGCCAGCCGCCGAAGGUGGGACAGAUGAUUGGGGUGAAGUCGUAACAAGGUAGCCGUAUCGGAAAAGNGGNCNCC
rnacentral:rRNA from 1 species